AUUGAACGCUGGCGGCAUGCCUUACACAUGCAAGUCGAACGGCAGCGGGGGAGAAGCUUGCUUUUCCUGCCGGCGAGUGGCGAACGGGUGAGUAAUACAUCGGAACGUGCCCUGUAGUGGGGGAUAACUAGUCGAAAGAUUAGCUAAUACCGCAUACGACCUGAGGGUGAAAGUGGGGGACCGCAAGGCCUCAUGCUAUAGGAGCGGCCGAUGUCUGAUUAGCUAGUUGGUGGGGUAAAGGCCUACCAAGGCGACGAUCAGUAGCUGGUCUGAGAGGACGAUCAGCCACACUGGGACUGAGACACGGCCCAGACUCCUACGGGAGGCAGCAGUGGGGAAUUUUGGACAAUGGGCGAAAGCCUGAUCCAGCAAUGCCGCGUGUGUGAAGAAGGCCUUCGGGUUGUAAAGCACUUUUGUCCGGAAAGAAAUGGCUCCGGUUAAUACUAGGAGCUCAUGACGGUACCGUAAGAAUAAGCACCGGCUAACUACGUGCCAGCCGCCGCCGUAA
rnacentral:rRNA from 1 species